rnacentral:rRNA from 1 species
UAGGGAAUCUUCGGCAAUGGGGGCAACCCUGACCGAGCAACGCCGCGUGAGUGAAGAAGGUUUUCGGAUCGUAAAGCUCUGUUGUAAGAGAAGAACGUGUGUGAGAGUGGAAAGUUCACACAGUGACGGUAACUUACCAGAAAGGGACGGCUAACUACGUGCCAGCAGCCGCGGUAAUACGUAGGUCCCGAGCGUUGUCCGGAUUUAUUGGGCGUAAAGCGAGCGCAGGCGGUUUAAUAAGUCUGAAGUUAAAGGAAGUGGCUUAACCAUUGUUCGCUUUGGAAACUGUUAAGCUUGAGUGCAGAAGGGGAGCGUGGAAUUCCAUGUGUAGCGGUGAAAUGCGUAGAUAUAUGGAGGAACACCGGUGGCGAAAGCGGCUCUCUGGUCUGUAACUGACGCUGAGGCUCGAAAGCGUGGGGAGCAAACAGG